rnacentral:lncRNA from 10 species
UUUAUUUAAUUUCAAAUUUAAUUAUUAUUGGUAUUUAGGAAAGCAAUUGACUUUGUACAUUUAAAAUGUACCAUGCAAUGUGCUAUACUACUUAUUAGUGACAGGAGUUUUUUGGUGGAUUCUUUGAGGUUACUUACAUAGACAGUUACAUCAUUUGUAAUGAAAGACGGUUUUAUUUCUUUCCUUUUCAUAGUUUAUAAAUAGAAUUUAUUUUAAUGUCAUAUUGCACAAACUAGGACUUUCAGUAUGUUGUUUAAUAGCAUGGGAAAACAUCUUUGCCUUCUUCUGAAUCUUAGGAGAAAAGUGUUCAGUGUUGUAAGUUAAGUAUGAUGUUAAUUGUAGGUUUUGUGUAAAUGUAUCUUAUUGAGGUGAGAAAAUUCCCCUUUUACCCUAGGUUUUCUGAGAUUCAUUAUCAUAAAUGAGUGUUGAGUUUUGUCAAAUGCAUUUUUGAUAUCAACCCAUAUAAUCAUAUACUUUUUUCUUUAACAUGUUGAUAUGGUGGAUUACAUUUAUUGAAUUUUUUAAUGGUGAAUCACUCUUGUAUACCUCAAUCCUUCAUUUGUGUUGCAAUGAAAAAGGGAUGUAUUGUUAUUGGUCUGUUUCACUUUGUUACGAUAUAUGGUUGUCCAUAGUGUCUACUCAUGCCCCAAUAUCUUGUAGAUAUUUAAAAAAUAAAACAGCUCUUUAAAUUUUUCCUAUACCCUUGAUUUGUUGAGAGUUUAAUGAAGAAACAGAAAACACUUUGAAUAUUUUAAGCAAGAAAGAAUUCAUUAAAGUAAGUAGAUGCUUACAAAUUUAUUGACAGAGGAAAAGGAGCAAAAGUCAGGGACGGCCAAUGAAGUAUAGAUCUAGGGCCGGGCGCGG